AGCACAUCUCUAGCAAUCGCUGCUCGCCGCCCCCACCAUCGGCUGUACGGCGACGCCCCUGAGCCCCUGCCUUCCCUAUCGCGCUAUGGACCCUUGCAUCAGCCAGAUCCGAGCACCUCCGGGGCCGCCUUCGCAUGUCUUCGGCACCUCCGCCAGAACCUCUUCGGCCCCAUGAUUUCAGGGAGUAUGGACCAUGUAUGGACAGAUGUGAUCCUUAACUGUCGUUGUUCUUGGCGUGUUGCUGCCAUUUUACUGGGUAGAAUCUAUGCACGGCCGAGACCUCAGUCUAUCCACUGUACGAGUGUUUAAUGAAUUUACUCUUCUCCAUGGCGCGUCCAUGAGGGCAGAAAUUUCAUGCUUCAAAUCUGCUUGGCGAGAACCUUUUCAGGCCUGGAGAUGUCCUUGUGAACUGGUCAGUGAUUUUCGGAAAGUGGAGCUGCAUUCAAGGUUUGAGAUAUAGUUUAUGUCGACUGGAUGAGUUGUUUGAUCUCUUUGCCCUGUUCUUCGAGAUGGGUUGCGAUGAAAACUCUUGGGGCCAUGAGCAACACUUGAGGCUCCUCUUCAUAAGCACAAAAGCUGCAGCAAGCAGAAAUUGGAGAGGUAAACCUAAUAGUGUUCAUUAUGAGCUAAUCUGGACCAUGUACAGAGUCCGCCACAGUUCAAACAAAAUCUCUGUACUGAAGGUGGUGUGGCGUUGAAGCUGUCAUGUCCUCGGCCAUGCCCGCCCAUUGAAAUCUCUGUUAUUUUCCUCUACUUGUAUUCCACCUUUUCGUUGCAAUUCAAUUUUGGGAUCAGCAGUAUCUAUGCAAUUAAUUUCAAACUUCGCAGGA